rnacentral:rRNA from 1 species
GAUGAACGCUAGCGGCAGGCUUAACACAUGCAAGUCGAGGGGUAACAGAGUAGCUUGCUAUUGCUGACGACCGGCGCACGGGUGCGUAACGCGUAUAGGAUCUACCUUAUACUGAGGGAUAGCCUUUAGGAAACGAAGAUUAAUACCUCAUAGUAUGUUAGUUUGGCAUCAAACAAACAUUAAAGGUUACGGUAUAAGAUGACUAUGCGUUCUAUUAGCUAGAUGGUUUGGUAACGGCAUACCAUGGCAACGAUAGAUAGGGGCCCUGAGAGGGGGAUCCCCCACACUGGUACUGAGACACGGACCAG